rnacentral:RNase_P_RNA from 1 species
CUUGUCGCUGGCCAAGGCCUCGGGCUGAGGCGAGAGGAAAGUCCGGGCAACAUAGGGCGCUCCGCUACCUAACGGGUAGAAGUCCGCGAGGGCUUGCACGUGCAGAAGAAAAGAACCGCCGCGUCUGAGUCGAAGAGACGAAGCGUGGUAAGGGUGAGAAGGUGGGGUAAGAGCCCACCAGACGUGUGGCGACACACGCGCUGUGCACACCGGAGGUUGAAAGUUCGCGUAAACCAACGCUCGAGGGCGGCCCGCCCGAGUUGGAGGGUAGAACGAUAGAGGCGUCGCGAGAGCGGCGUCCUGGAUAAAUGGCAAGCGCCCGCUUCGGCGGGUACAGAACCCGGCUUAUAGUUCCACUG